UACGGAGGGGGCUAGCGUUGUUCGGAAUUACUGGGCGUAAAGCGCACGUAGGCGGCUUUGUAAGUUAGAGGUGAAAGCCCGGGGCUCAACUCCGGAAUUGCCUUUAAAACUGCAUCGCUAGAAUCAUGGAGAGGUGAGUGGAAUUCCGAGUGUAGAGGUGAAAUUCGUAGAUAUUCGGAAGAACACCAGUGGCGAAGGCGACUCACUGGACAUGUAUUGACGCUGAGGUGCGAAAGCGUGGGGAGCAAACAGG
rnacentral:rRNA from 1 species